GUCAAGAUGGUGGAGUGGUUAACACGUUCGCCUGCUAAAUUCCAUGCCACAAACAGGAAUUAGUCAGCGGAUGCCUUCGGGCGCGCAGGUUCGAAUCCUGUUCUUGACG